CCUACUGUAGUCCGCAUUGAGGAAUAUUGGUCAAUGGCCGGGAGGCUGAACCAGCCAAGUCGCGUUAGGGAAGACGGCCCUACGGGUUGUCAACCUCUUUUGUCAGGUAGCAAGGUGCAGGUCGGGACCUGCUGUGAGAGUACCUGAAGAACAAGCAUCGGCUAACUCCGUGCCAGCAGCCUCGGUAAUACGGAGGAUGCGAGCUUUAUCCGGAUUUAUUGGGUUUAAAGGGUGCGCAGGCGGAGGCACGAGUCAGCGGUAAAAUGGCGGGGCUCAAACCCGCUCCGCCGUUGAAACGGUGUCCCUUGAGGGGGCGAAGGGUAGGCGGAAUGCGUGGUGUAGCGGUGCAAUGCAUGGAUAUCACGCAGAACUCCGAUCGCGAAGGCAGCCUACCGGCGCGCAACUGACGCUCAUGCACGAAAGCGUGGGUAUCGAACAGGAUUAGAUACCCGAGUAGUC
rnacentral:rRNA from 1 species